rnacentral:lncRNA from 1 species
UCGUAGAGUGGAUUGGCUCCACAAGGCUAGCAAAAGAACAGCCUUGGUUCCCUCUAGGCGUGUCGCGCUGGAUUCAUCGUUGCCGCUGUCAAGGUAGUGGCAAUGCAGGAAUUCCUGGCGUUGCCUUUGGUAGAGGACCUGGAUAUGGCUGCGAUUUGCGCAGCUUCCUUGCGUGUAGGCCCUUCCCAUUGUAGUCGGUAGACCUGAGUGGCCUUGUGAUAUAGUAAAAGCCUGAGGCUUAAAUGCAGCCCGCCAGUAGGCAGUUGCUUGUAGUCUUCAUGUAUUCCG